CUUUCUAUGAAUAUGUAAAUUGCUGUUUUGGAAGCAGCUUAAUACUUUUUUUGAAGAGGCUUUUACAAUCUUUAUCACAUUUACUGUCUUAUAAUUUCAUUUUUAGAAAUUUAGUUUAAGAAAAUAAUUCAGAAUUAACGGAAGAAUUCAUAUGGCCAAAUAUGUCUGUAAAAGUGACAAACUAGAGGUAAUUCAAAUAUAUUACAAUAAACGGCAUUGUUAAAUAAAAUUUGGCACGUCCAUUUAAUAAGUAUGUUUUGCUAUUAAAAUAAUGCUAAUGAAAGUUUAUAAUGAACUUAUAAAUAUGCUUCUGUUUCAAUAUAAAGAAGAAAAGUAUAAUACUUCACAUAUAAAAUUAUUUUUACUAAAUAAAAAUGCACAUAUAACAAAUAAUGAAGCUAAAUAUACCCCCAAAUAUAGUGGUACAUAAUUAACUCUGGGUAAUUAAAUCAUAGGUUGUUUUGUUUGUUUGCUUGUUUCUUUUGCCUCUUAUACUUUUCUUUUUCUCCAAGAAGUGUUAAUUACCUGUAUUAUAAAAUUGUUAUUUGUAAAGGUUUAACACUUUGCUAACACUGUUUUUUAGACUUGCUUCUGAAUUACAGAAUUGGCUCUUUAGCGAUUGAUCACAGUGAUCUGGGUAAUCACAGUACAUGUCAGGCUCUGCCUUUACAUUCUCUUGCCUCACUCCUACACAUAUUUCAUGCACUGCUACCUUUCUGUUGUGCUAUUUUGUGACACAAUAUUUUGAGACAAAACCAUUACUUACACGCAGAUACUAAGUGACAUUAGUUUAUCUCCAACUGGGCAAUGUAAUUGCAACAAAACCCCCAGCUAACCAAAAACGAAUAAUAACUUCUGCUCACAUAAAAUGAAAUGUCCAUUUCACUAAUCACAUGCUGUCUGGAACCUCUGUUCUCCAUGGUAACUACCUGGCUUUCCUAGAUAAGCAUUUCUGAUUCAAGAACACAAUUGGCAGGCCUGCCUCAGCUUAAUUGACCUAGUUUGGUGAAAGUUCUGCAGCCUGAAUGUGACAUGUCACUGCUAAAAUAAAAUUUCAAAUAUUUCCUCAGGACAACGCACAGCAUGAAUAUUUGGGUAACACAACCAGAAUGCUGUAUUAGAAUAUUAUAUACGUCUGAAUUCUACAAAGCUUCCUGUCAUCAAUUGUAUUUAAGAGGAAAUUAAAGAACAAAAAUGAAUUAUAUCUACUCAUAUUUGAAUACAUAAAUUACCUUCAUUUACUUAAUUUUUAAUAUACAGGAUCCUAAAUAUUAAGCAGUAUCAGUCAAAAAUAAAACUAUAAAGUGAAGAAAUGAGUUGCAAAUACUAUACAGCCUAGACACCAAUAAGUAACAUAGUUUAAAAAACAUUUCUAGCAUGACUCUAAAAUUGUUUGCAGCCAAUAUGGUGUUGAGAGAAGCUGAGUGGUGGGAGAAGCUGAGGCAGGGCUUGCAUGCCUGACAUAAUGUAAAAGAGUGUUGGAAAAUGUCCGGAGCCAGGGUCUAAAACCUCUCGUUGCCUUUGGAACACCAAGCUCUAUGCCAAAGGGUGGAAGGCUGUGCUGAUGCACCAAAAUCUAAACCCAGGGCAUAAAACCCCUUGUGGCUUGGAGAGAAUCCAGGGCUCGAGGCAUAAAACCCCUCACGGCCUCUGGAAUGUGUCUAGACUUGCUGGAUCCUUGCUCCUUGCUCUCCCAGGAUCAAUUGCAUCUUAAGUUAAAAGAACCUGCUCUCCAUUAUCUCAAGUAGCAGAAUAUGUUCCAUAUGCUUCAAAGGAAAUGCUAAACUGUCACAGCUGUAAAUCAUGCACUUGCCCUUUCCAGCCCCACAUUGUCACCACCUGUUUCUUAGUUUGAUCACCAAUAAAUAGUCUGGGCUUCUGGAGCUCAGCGCCUUCACAACCUCCAUACUUGCAUUGACCCCCUGGACCCACUUUCUCCUUCAAACUAUAUUUUCUCAUUCCUUUGACUCUCCUGAUUUCAUUGCCCCCACGACCUGGUGUUGAGUCUGAUCACCCCAACAC